rnacentral:rRNA from 1 species
UACGGAGGGUGCGAGCGUUGUCCGGAAUCAUUGGGCGUAAAGGGCGCGUAGGUGGCGGGACAAGCGUGCGGUGAAAGCUCGGGGCUCAACCCCGAGUCGGCCGUGCGAACUGUUUUGCUGGAGCACUGUAGAGGCAGGCGGAAUUCCGGGUGUAGCGGUGGAAUGCGUAGAGAUCCGGAAGAACACCGGUGGCGAAGGCGGCCUGCUGGGCAGUUGCUGACACUGAGGCGCGAAAGCGUGGGGAGCAAACAGG